AUGCCAUGGUGUGGGCAUUCCCUUUGCAGGUCUUUGUACCUCUCCCAUGCAUCAUAGAGUGAUUCUCCUUCUCUUUGUUUGAAAGUAUUCAAUUCUACUCUUAGUUU